GACCAUCAAUUAUUGACAUUGUAUGUCACUGCUAUAAAACUGCAGGUACUCUUCACCAUAGCAUAUCCCAUUUUCCAUAGGUUUUGUGUGUGAUUUGAGAGAAACGAGAGAAUGAGUUCUGUUGCCUUAACAAAGAAGCCACAUGCAGUUUGCAUACCCUACCCAGCUCAAGGUCACAUAACCCCAAUGCUGAAAUUAGCUAAGCUCCUCCACUACAAAGGUUUUCAUAUAACCUUUGUGAACACAGAGUUCAACCACAAACGCCUCCUUAAAUCUCGAGGUCCCAACUCUCUCGACGGCCUCCCUUCCUUUCAAUUCGAGACCAUUCCUGAUGGCCUCCCUCCAUCUGAUGACAACGCCACCCAAGACAUACCAUCCCUAUGCCUUUCCACUAGUAAAAAUUGCUUAGCACCCUUCAGAGACCUUUUAUCAAAGCUUAACUCUUUACCCCAUUCCCCUGCAGUUACUUGCUUAGUUUCUGGGCAUGACAUUCUCACUUGAUGCAGCCCAAGAAUUUGGCAUUCCGUGUGUUCUUUUCGAAACAAUGAGUGCUUGUGGCUCGUUGGGUUACCUUCAGUAUCUCCCUCUGAAUAAUGCCAGCUAUUUGACAAAUGGGUAUUUAGAUACUGUAAUAGAUUGGAUACCAGGCAUGAGACAUAUUCGUUUGAGGGACUUGCCAACCUUCGUCAGAACCACAGAUCCAAAUGACAUCAUGCUGAAAUAUCUUGUGAGAGAGUUCGAACGAGCCCAGAAAGCUUCAGCAAUCAUUUUCAACACAUUUGAAGCCUUAGAGCUUGAAGUUCUGGAUGCACUUUCGACUUUCCUACCACCUAUUUACUGCAUUGGACCCCUUCAACUACAGGUUAGUCAGAUUCCACCAGAUUAUAACAAUUUGAAGUCGAUUGAAUCAAAUCUUUGGAGAGAAGAAACAGAGUGCCUUGAAUGGCUUGACUCAAAAGAACCAAAUUCUGUGGUUUAUGUCAACUUUGGAAGCAUCACAGUCAUGACAGCUGAGCAGCUAAUUGAGUUUGUAUGGGGACUUGCAAAUAGCAACAAGGCCUUUUUAUGGGUUCUAAGGCCUGACCUUGUUCGUGGAGAAUCCGCUGUGGUUCCACCGGAGUUUUUGGAAGAGACCAAAGAAAGGGGUCUAUUCGCAAGUUGGUGCCCUCAAGAACAAGUACUGAGCCACCCAGCUGUAGGAGGGUUCUUGACACACAGUGGAUGGAACUCCACCCUUGAAAGUUUGUGUGGUGGAGUGCCCAUGAUCUGUUGGCCCUUCUUUGCAGAGCAACAAACCAAUUGCAGGUUCUGUUGCAAAGAAUGGGGCAUAGGCAUAGAGAUAGAGGAUGAUGUUAAAAGAAACUACAUAGAGGACCUUGUGAGAACAUUAAUGGAGGGAGAGAAGGGCAAAGCGAUGAGGAAGAAAGCCAUGGAAUGGAAGAAGUUGGCAGAGGAGGCCGCUACUGGUCCAAAUGGGUUAUCAUUCUUGGCUUUGGACAACAUGAUUAACCGUGUUCUUCUUUCUCCAAGAAAUCUGAAUUGACUAGAAUCUAGCUGGUUGUUUCAGUCCGUACUUUGAAUCAUCUUGUUCCUGAUAAGAAGUUCCUUUUUGCUUUUGUGUAGUUUUAUGUGCUUUUGUGUAGUU